GCCGGGCGUGGUGGCUCACGCCUGUAAUUCCAGCACUUUAGGAGGCUGAGGCGGGUGGAUCACCUGAGGUCAGGAGUUCGAGACCAGCCUGGCCAACAUGGUGAAACCCCGUCUCUA
rnacentral:SRP_RNA from 1 species